AGCUCAGUGGUCGAGUGGUUAAGACAUCUGCACUAUAAGCAGGAGGUCAUGGGUUCGAGUCCCACUUGAGUAA